rnacentral:rRNA from 1 species
GAUGAACGCUGGCGGCGUGCCUAAUACAUGCAAGUCGAGCGAAGCGGGGACGGGUGAGUAACACGUGGGUAACCUCCUAUAAGACUGGGAUAACUUAGGGAAACCGGAACCAAAACCGCUAAUUAUAGCUGGAUCCGAGCUGCAUUAGCUAGUUGGUGAGGUAACGGCUUACCAAGGCAACGAUGCAUAGCCGACCUGAGAGGGUGAUCGGCCACACUGGAACUGAGACACGGUCCAGACUCCUACGGGAGGCAGCAGUAGGGAAUCUUCCGCAAUGGGCGAAAGCCUGACGGAGCAACGCCGCGUGAGUGAUGAAGGCCUUCGGGUCGUAAAACUCUGUUAUCAGGGAAGCGGUACCUAAACAGAAAGCCACGGCUAACUACGUGCCAGCAGCCGCGGUAAUUC